rnacentral:snoRNA from 1 species
UCCAAUGAUGAUCAUUGUGCUUCGGCACGCUGGAAAUUACCGACCAAGGCUUCUGCCUGUGCCGAUAAACUAUGGCUGUUUCUGAUU